rnacentral:lncRNA from 1 species
CAGCUAUUCGGACCUUGUCCUGUCCUGAACAUGUUGAAUAUGAAAUAAAACUAUUAGAUGCCCCUGUCAUAUGACUAGAUGCUCCUGAGUCUAUUACCCAAGAGUUGGAUGUGCCGCAAGUAAAUGCAUGUGAUAAUGUAUAUGGAGUACCUGAGUGUGCAAAAAGAGAGGAAUCAAGAUACUUAUCCUAGUGGCUAGGCUGUUCCUGAGUAGAGGGUGUGGUGCUAGAAGUUGAUUCAUACUUCUCCAUCAUUCGUCGGAGGGUCUGGUACUCCUCUGCAGAUAAGCUGUGUACAGUACCCUCAGUCUCUUCAGAGAGAUUGGCUUGAGCAGAUC